CCUGUCUUCAUGGCAUAUUAGCCGUCCCCAAAAAAACCUUCAUGUAAGUAUUCACUUUUCUUUGGGGGAGCCUAAAUUAAUCCUUGCUCGAUCUUCAAAUGAACCAGGGGGAUUAAUUUGUGUCAUAUGAAUAGCAGCAUUUGUUCCAACAAAUUUCCCUGCAAAUAGUAAAAUCACAAAUAUACCGAACUUCGAGGAAAAUUGAAAACGGGAGUCGAUAAUCAAAUGGCAAAUUUAAAAGCUCAAAUCCAUCGAACGAACGAAUAAAACUGUAAAUUCCUGACUUUGAUUCCACAAUUUUCU
rnacentral:lncRNA from 1 species